CACAUGAUGCUUCCGGAAAAGAAAUCAGUGCCUCACAGCUGAAAAAGCUGAAGAAAUUAUAUACCCAACAGGAAAAGAAUUACCAGAAAUACAUUUCAGAAAAUGUUGAAAAUGGCUGCGAAUAUGGAAGUUUGGAAAAGCCAAGAGCUUUUAGAUGCACUUAGAUCCUAUUUUGCCAGACUGAAAGUCCCCGACAUGGCUGCAGCGAAAAACGAUGUAUUACCAGUGGUUAACAAAAUUGUUGAUUUUAUAAAGAUUAAAGAUCGUAGGUUUGAUAUGACGGUGGAAACAAGAGGCAGCGUAUAUGAAAAAUUAAAGAUAGACGAAGCGGAUGAAUUCGACUUUGAUUUGAAGCUCAACACGUUGAAAAUGGAGAAAAUUGAAUUAGUUUACGCGGAUGAAUAUACAGUGUGCAAGCCUAACUUUUGGCUUGACUUCAUUGAUGAAAAAGGGCUACUUUUGACGCAGAAACUGACAGAAAGAUUUAGUUCAUAUGUUGGCGAAGCCUGUCGGGAGAUAAAUUCCAAAUUCAGCUUAAGAUCAAAAUUAAACCACCCAGCCGUGACUGUGUUUAUGAGUGAUGGAGAAACAAAAUACAAUGUUGACUUGGCACUUGUCAUUGAAGUUGAAAAAUGGCCGGAAAAUCUAACUUUGGGAUGGGAGCAUCGAAAAACAAACGGAUUUCCAUCAGUUACGUGCAUUGAAAAGAUAAAAAGUGGACCAAUCUGCCUCGUUGCCAAAGUCCCUCCAGACAUUAAGGCUCAAAAUCCCAGUGUCUCAGACAACUUGUGGCGCAUGGCUUUUAACCAUGCCGAAAAGCAGAUUGCCCUAGACCCAAACGAGGGUGUCCCAGACUCGUGCAGAAGACCAGUUCUACGCAUCUUGAAAGGCUUCAGAGAACACUUGAAUUGGCCGUUUUUGAGAUCGUACCAUAUAAAGACAGUACUUCUUCAUGAAUUCGAGUCUCACCCACCUGACAAGUGGCAACCAGAUAGACUUGGAGAAAGAGUGUUCACAGCAGUAAAACGUUUGAAAGAUUUUGUUGUAAACAAAAAAUGCCCUCAUUAUUUUCUGCCGCAAGUCAACCUCUUUAAGACCAUGUCUAAUUCGGAUGCAUUGCUGCAAAAAAUCGAUCGCUUUCUGGGAGAUCCCCUCGCGAUGGUUCGUGCACUGAAUAACGAAGGAACAGCCCCUCCAACAAACGAUUUACAAAUUUAUUUGCGUCUCCCUAACGGAAAGACUACAACUUUGUCAACAAAGAAAAACGAGGAUAUUCAAGCUCUGAAGCGGAAAGCGUCAACGAUAUCAGGUAUAAAAGGUGGAUUUCAUGUAACGAAAUUUCGUACGAAAUUUCGGCGAAAUUUCGCAAAUUACAAUAAGCCCGCACGUGCAAAUAAAUGUUCUUUUGGUACUGAUAUUUUUCAUUAAAGGGUUGGCUGAGUCGCAGUUUUAUCUGAGCUUUAAUUCAAGGUCUUUGGAAAGAGGAACAAUUGCUUCAAAUGGAAUUAAACAUGGUAGCGAGAUUGUAAUAAUGACGAGACUUAGAGGCGGGACAUAAAUUCGAAAUUGCCAGUUGAACUGAAGAAGAACCGAUGACAGUCUCUGUAAAAUGCUUAUGUGUCUUAGAUUUAGUAAUCUUAUCUUGUAGUUGAUUGUAACGGAUCCAGGGACCGCUGAAGCUUGCGGCUACGGGAGCUUUAGCCCCCCCUCCACCCGCAAAAAUACUUAAAACCAUACUCUUUUAUUCUUGCAUGUUUAGCCCCCCUCUAAAACUUGUAUGCCCCUUCAGUCUGCAAUAGGAUCCGCAGUCCUUCAUACUUUCUAGGCUUCUAGAUUUGAGAACAAUUUCUUGCUCAUUUCUUACUUUUUAACAAAUUUCCCUAUUUGUUACUCUAAUAGUACUAAUGAAAUUCAUUUUGCCCAAUCACUUUGUUGCCCAAUCACAUUUUGCCCAAUCACUAAUCAAAUUCAAAAGCCCAAUCACUUUGUUGCGAUAUGAGUGUCCCUUUUGCUAUACAAAUCCUAAGAGUCAUGUACUCUUUUUGAGCAUUUAUUUGAUUGAGGGUUUUCUGUUGUUUUUUUGAUCCUAUAAAAGAGAGUGUAAACGACGCUUUUUUAUUUCGUCUCU